UUAUUAGGUGUGAGAAGUCCAAGCAGCUCUUGGAGACAGCAGAGCAGGCAGGAAGGUAAAUCCGCACCUUUUUGCUGUCUCAGGCAACUGCAGUUUGUUGGUGCUGUUGUGGCUAUUGCCAUAGAGCCUCUCUGAGAAGCAUAUGAAAGGAAAGGUUUGAUGUCAGAAAAAUAGAACAGGUUGUAUAUUUCCCACAGUUAACAGGCAUUUUCAACCCCUACAGGAAGACAGGACUGGAAAGAAAAACCCCAGAAAUGCAGCACUGCAAGAGGGGUAGACACAGGUGAUGCUUUUAUCAAAGCAUGACAGGAAUCAACACUUCACAGGCACUUCUGAAAAAAAAAAAAAAGUGCAUCUUUCUUCUGAAACUUGCUGUACAUGUUAGUCAUUUUACUGCUAUCACAGUAGGAAGAGAACUGGGAGGGUCAUUUCCAGAUGUUUAGAAAAACCAUUUGAGAAAAUAGCAUACAAUUAGUUUCAAAAGAGAUGAGAGUCCUGUUUCUAAGAGCUCUUUGACCCUUCAGCCCUAUCUGGAAGCUAAAAAGCCAUCAAGCUUGGGGCUGGCACUGGGACAACCGCCGCCUUUCCCCUCACACCCUGCCCUAUCGGCCCCGGGCGACCAUUUGGUGAGCAAUGGCGCUGGGCGCACCAGGCCAGGCCGCACUGAGCGGCAGCUUGGCCAGCGGCAGCUCGGCUCGAGUAGUCGCUGGCUGACAGGAUCGUCUCCAUCAGGGCUCCGCUCGACAGAGGAGAGCUGGCGAUAUGAAUUUUUCUCAAAGCAGUGGGUGCUGCUUAAAUACCUCAGUGCCAUCUUCAGAACCAUGGUACCUCAGCUUCGAAGAGGACUCUGGAGCCUGGUAAUGGGAAAAGUACUGCAGAGGCGCACAGUCACAUGAGAUACAGCUAGCAAUGUUUUGAAAAGCGUUGUUUUGCAUAGUGCAGAACAGUGUAGGCUUUUAUGAGAUGUUUCAUGGGAUUCCUGGUAAAUAUUGUUUGGUUUUUGCAUUUAAUUUUUUGUAUGCUAAGAGUACCAAAACAAUGACAGAAUGUAAGAAAUUUAUAUUUUUAUUACAUUACAUAUGACAUGAUACAAUUGCUAACAAGCUUGAUACAUUUCAAAGUUAAAGGUAAGGCUGAAAACUGAAAUUAUAUUUUUCUACAUUGAAUAUUUUUACUGGGAUUUUACAAAAUUUUAGAUAACUGAAAACUAGGGUUAAAAUAAGAGCAGACAAGCUUCUUUUUUAUUUGUAAACACAACUUCAGUUCUCAAUGCCUUCUCACAAAAUGCUGGAACCUUAUAUGUUUGGAAGGAAAUGAUUUAUGCGAAUCUUUCACCAGUUAGAAACUACAUUUCAGCUGUAUAAUCUUGACUACAUGCCUUUUUUUAAUAUUAAUAAUGGGGUUUCAUUGUCCUUUGAUCCUCAUGUAUAAUCCCUUUUGGUUUACAUUAGGUUUAAAUUCAGCACUGGAAAAUUCAACUCUGCAGACUCCAAGUUGUCCCUAAGAGUUUUUUCACUUAAGAAAUAGUAUGUUUGUUCAGGGGAGUAUUAGCUGCUACACAGCUUUUAGAAAUGUUAGAGAACAUCCAAAGAAUACCCAUUUCCCUGUCCUACAACUAAAAUUAUACUUGAAAAAGAAAAAAAAAUACAAAAUAUAAUAAAGAUCAAAGCACAUCUCUUCCCUCCCA
ensembl:lncRNA